rnacentral:lncRNA from 1 species
CUGUAAGGAUUGCUGCCCUGCCGGCUGGCUAGGUUGCUCUGUAAGUAAGGCUUUUCCCUAAUAAAUUCCCUUAUAUUUUACCUGGUUCCAUAUUGGUAAUUUCCCACAUUACUGCAUGUUCAUGCCCUUCUUCCAGCACCUUCUUUGGCUGUUUCUCUUAAUAUCUUCCUGCUUAGCUAUUGGCCAGUCAUAUCUUUUAUUAAACAAAACAGAAGGUGCCUCAGUAAAGACACAUCUUCCCAGUACACAAAAAGAUUAUUUCAUAAUAGAAAUAAUUCAAGGAAUACUCUUCUUCAUUUCCAGGGUGCAGAGAAGAACUUGAAAAAUCUCAAUGAUCUUUGGUACUACUUGGUCUUUAUCAGAAGUUAAAGAGGUUCUAAAGUUUGAAGCUGCAGAAUUAAGAGUCUGUCAAUGGAGCAAAAAACAGGCAAGAGGACAAGCCAACCUGAAAACUAUGAAGUCAGAAGUGACAGAGGUGAUGGCACAGCAACACAAGCUGGUUCUUCAUUUGUCAGAUCUGUCAGGAACCAGAACUCCUCUGGACCUGUGUUUCUAAAUCAUCUAUAAUUAUAGCUUUGAUUUCCUUUUACCCCAGGAACUAUUUAGAAUAGUUUGGUUUUGUUUCCUGAAAUUGCUAUUUGAUUGAAGCUUUAAAUCUAUGGUUUGGCAAGUUUUUCUACUUUUAUUGCAUCCUGGUCAAAGAGUCUAUAGUAUUUCAAUGUUUCAAAAUUUGAAGUUACUUUUGUGGUUUAAUUAUAUAGUUAAUUUGGUUACUGUUUUAUGGAAUCUUAAAUAUAAUAUAUUCUUGCCUUUGGGAAACUGUUUCCCUGCUUAGGUUGAAUUCUUUUAUAUUUCCUUCCUUAUCCUUGAAAUUCAAGAAAUGAUAAUAUCGUUUUUGGUUGAUGAUCUCCUUUUGUUGCAAUGUAUAUUGCAAAGCAAACCAUUUUCAUUUUCAGCUUUAAUACUUUCUUAUGAUAUCUCUAUUAUAAUGAUGGCUAUUAUUCCAGGUCUCAUGUCUCUUUUAAGUAGUCCCUCC